rnacentral:rRNA from 1 species
GACGAACGCUGGCGGCGUGCCUAAUACAUGCAAGUUGAGCGCUGAAGGUUGGUACUUGUACCAACUGGAUGAGCAGCGAACGGGUGAGUAACGCGUGGGGAAUCUGCCUUUGAGCGGGGGACAACAUUGGGAAACGAAUGCUAAUACCGCAUAAAAACUUUAAACACAAGAUUUAAGUGUGAAAGAUGCAAUUGCAUCACUCAAAGAUGAUCCCGCGUUGUAUUUGCUAGUUGGGGAGGUAAAGGCUCACCAAGGCGAAGCUACAUAGCCGGACUGGGAGGGAGAUCGGCCAAAAUGGGAAUGGGACCCGGCCCAAACCCCUACGGGGGGCAGCAGGAGGGAAUCUUCGGACAUGGACGAAAGUCUUACCGAGCAACGCCGGGGGAGGUAAGAAGGGUUUCGGAUCGUAAAACUCUGUUGGUAGAGAAGAACGUUGGUGAGAGUGGAAAGCUCAUCAAGUGACGGUAACUACACAGAAAGGGACGGCUAACUACGUG